UUGGUGCGCGGCGGUGCGCGGGGCGUCGGAGCCUCCACUCGGCGCUCGGCUCCCGCACCGCCCUCGCCCCCUCAGUCGCCUAGGGCCGGCGCCGCCGGAGCGGUGGCGGAUGCAGCUGUUGCUCCCAGGCUUGCUCGGACCCUGCACCUUCCCGUUUUCAACAGUUUCGGCAGCAGAAAUCCCAGCGUGGGCAAGUUUGUGAGCGAUAAACCCGGCCGCUUCCCGGGCUGGGACGCCCCAGCUGUGCGAAAGAGCUGCCUUUUCAUUCAUUGGGAAAUAUCGAAGGACUUAGGAAGCGGGUGGCUAGCUUUUUUGUUGUUGCCGCCGCUUGUGUGAAUUUCUGCAAGGACCGGGAUUUCCACGGGGAUCUGAAGAUUUUUCCUCAGAACCUGCUUAGCUCCGGCGCGCUAGUGUGGGGAGUUGCGGAGUUCUAGCGUUAAUUGAAUUUUCACGCCGCAGUUUACAGGUGCAUAUAAUUGCCUCAGAUUGGCGUUGAAUUUACUGAGGGACUUGCAGUUGUACACUAAAUAUUCGUCCUUUAUUUUUGGAGCAGAAUGUAUUUGUGGCGUCCUUUUACCUGGAAACCUACGAGCCUCGUAAACCUACCUAUCCUUUGUAUAAUUUCACUUUUCAGGGAGAAUAAUUUUGGGUGCACCGAUUAGGAAGCUGUUCAGCAGUGUUUGGGUAGAAUGAAAGCCUGAAGUAAUUGGAAUUGAUGUUCCAAGGUUUCUGAGAGAAUUUCUGGAGGAACUAAUGAGCAAGAACAGUACACAUGAGAAUCUUAAGUUCUUUCAAAAAAUAACUGAAGGAUCUUGAAAUACAUUUUCAGAUACCUCAAGAAGAGAGAUUUAGUGGAUUUCUUCUCAGAUCACUUUUCUUUCACAUGGUAUUAAUAAUGUUUAUAGUUUUAAAAAUGGGUGCCUCAUGAAUAUGCCCAUCAUCCAGUUCUUGAUUAGACACAUACAAGUAUUCUUUCAGUGUAUUUUGUAUUUAGAUCAAUUUUUAAUGUUUUUAUACUUCGGUAAUUUUAAUAUUUAAACCCAUCUUUGUUUAAAGCAGGUUAAAGAAAGUUACAUGAAACGUAGAGGAGUUUGUGUAUUACAGGUUUGGUCCUUUUGUCUUUUGAACAGUAAACUGGGGAGGUCAGAUCUUACCCUGUGGUUAUUGAGCUACUUGAUUUUUUGUUUCAAAAGAACAUAAUACGUUGAUGAUAGCCUGCAUUAUAUUACUACUCCUGUUGAUAGGUUUUCUGAAUCCUGAAAUAGGUUUUCUGAAUCCUGAAAUGUCUCAAAAAAUUGAGAAACAAGAGUCCAGUUUCCAUGUGUUUGUUUUAGGAGCUGUAUCUUUAAAAGCCAUCAUAUUCCUUACUAAGCUCUUCCAUUAUUUUAACAUAAUCUAAUAGUAUUUGAGAAAAGAGUUAAUGCAUUGGGCCUCAACUCAGACUGCGUGUUAGAAUCACUUGGGGGGAAUUGGGUUUUUAAAAACAAAUUUUUUUAAACAUUGAUCCCUAAGUCCCAUGCUCAGAGGCUAAUCAGUUUAGUUUGACAUGGGGCCUGGGCAGAGGUAUAUUUUAAAAGCACUGUGUAUGAUUAACCCUGCAGUCAGAGUUGAAAACCACUGGGUUAUUGUUUUUAGCAUAUUACUGUAGAACUUUCAAAUGGAUAAAUAAGAAAAUGGAUUUUUCCCAUCUACUUUCAAUUGCCAGCAUAAUUACCAUUUACUAAGCAUUAAUUACAUGUCAACAAUGGUAAGCAUCUCAAUUUGCUAUAUAAUGUAAAUAGUAUUAUUUCCACUAUGAGAAACUGUCAGCUUCAUCCAAGUGAUAUUUCAAAUUCUGUGCCAUACCAGUGAAAUGGUACUUACUACUGUUUAAAAAAACAAAAGCAUUUAGAACUUUUGGGUUAUUUGCUGUGCCAGAAUAGCUUUAGUUUUGUUUUUAAGAUGUCAAAAUAGUCUGCAAUUUGAGAAGUGUCUUGGUUGGCCAAGGGAGAUGGUAAGAUUUUGUAGUGAAUAAUACUUUGCUUUCCAUGUCUCCCAGCACAUUCAAAUUAAUUGUUUAGUUGGUGGAUUUGCUUGUGACUAAAACAGUAUUAGGCAACUUAACAUUCCUGAAAGAUGUAAAAAUGCAUUUGUCUCUUGGUAAUUUAAAUUAUCGCAUAAAUGAACAUGUAUCAUGAAAUUCAGUUAUUUCUGUUUGAGAAAUCUGAGUUUUAUUUAACUUAGCUUAAAAUCUGCCAGGU